UACGGAGGGGGCGAGCGUUGUCCGAAGUUACUGGGCGUAAAGGGCGCGUAGGCGGGGUGUCACGUCCGCUGUGAAAGCCUGGAGCUUAACUCCAGCGGGUCGGUGGAUACGGACACUCUUGAAGGCAUUAGGGGAAGAUGGAAUUACCCAUGGAGCGGUGAAAUGCGUAGAGAUGGGUAGGAACACCGGUGGCGAAGGCGACACGCUGGGCCGUACCUGACACUGAUGCGCGACAGCAUGGGGAGCAAACAGG
rnacentral:rRNA from 1 species